rnacentral:lncRNA from 1 species
CCACCCAAGUUUCUCUCUAGAGACAUGAAGUUGGCCCCACGCAGUAUACAUGGGUGAUAAAAAAUAGCCAAAAAGGUGCCGACCUCCCAUCUUAUGCGUUGCCUGUAGGGCUUCGUGCUGUACACAUAGCUGGGUUCUUGGUUAAAACAUGUCAGGAUUAUAUUGGAGAUGAAAACAGAUCUGCGGAAGCGUCACACAUCGACGCACGCUUAUUGUAACCAUUCAGACAAGACAAUUCACAGAGAUUCAGACAACCAUUUCCCCUACAUAAGUAGAAGCACUACCAACGCUGAAAGCAGUGUGGGUGUGCUCAAUUCACUGCAUAAAUAUUUUCGCACUUGUCCAUUUCCCACUGCCAUUCGAAAUGAGGUCUUAAAUCCAAGAUCCAGAGUCAUGGAAGAAGUUUGGAAUGAUAUUAAUCUUGCUUCUCUUAACGACCACCCCACAGAUUUCCGUGGAAUGAACCUUCAGGAUUUCUUGGCCAGAACCUGUCCUAACAAAGAUUCAGUGCACAUUUCUAGCGUCUCUUCCGGUUUUGUCUCUCCGACCACUAUGCUCACCUUGAACUCAAGACCUGAACGGUUGCAUUUCUCGGGAAACUCGGAUCCUCUUAUCCUAAGCUCUAGUUCACUGCCUCAGAGUCUUUCUAUUUCUCCUGCGUGUUGUGUCAACGUGGCUUCAGAGGGUCAUGGGAAGAAGAGAUUCACAGAGACUGGCAGCAAUCUCGCCGGUGACCGACGGCACAAGCGUAUGAUCAAGAACCGGGAGUCAGCUGCUCGAUCAAGGACUAGAAAGCAGGAAAGUCUCUUUUUAUCACUUCUUUUAUCUGCCGUAUAGUUAACAUUUUCUGGUGAUUACUAUGAUCAGCAUGUAACCCUUUGUUAGCCUUAGCUGUGACUUGUGAGGUCAUUUUCUAGAAUAGAUUUUGUAGGCUGCUUGAAAUUUUCUGUACCAAAUUUUUACCUGGACUCGAAUGCCUUUUUUUCUGUGGGUAUUCUGUGGUCCAUUUACAUCUCUCGUUUCUUAUUCAUUCCACCUUAUUAUAGGCUUAUAUGAAUGAGUUAGAGCUAGAAGUGGCCCACCUGGUGGAAGAGAAUGCCCGGCUCAGGGAACAACAACAGGCAUAUAUCCAUCAUUUAUUUAUAUACAGUAGUUUAUAGAAGAAACCCCCGCACCCCCGCAAUCAUAAGAUGAACGAUGGUCUAUAUAGCCGCAGAAUUAGAAUCAGUGUCAUUAAUUCUUCGAUGAAUAAAAAUGUAUUUCUACUUCAUUUGGAAAUACUGAUGGUAAAAUCUUUUUGCUAUGUAUUGCUUUACUGGUUACUCCUAAUUGAGUUAUUUUGCAUUUGGAUUAUGGCAGCUAUAUCUAGCAGAAGCUGCUCAAGUCCCCAGGAAGCAAACUCUCCGUCGAACAUCAACCGCUCCAUUUUGACUUAAAAAUGAGAUCUUCCAGAAGAUCGGUUCUAGUUAAGGAUUUUAAAGUUUUGUUUGGUGGGCUUGUAAAAUGUUUAAUAUCUGAACCAUAAUUUGUCAACACCAAGAUGCUCGGUUGGUUCUGUAAGGUCGAGGUGGGGUUGGUGACAGAGUAGGCCCACGGUGAUAUUAGCAAGUUAAGGUUUUUGCUGGUUCAAAGUCCAAACAAGCAGAGCAGAGAUUUUUGGGGUGAUGUUUUCUGCGCUUGCUUGUUUUGGACUCCCUCUAUCUUUCCUGCCUUUUCUUUCCCUCAGUCCAUAGGAAAAGAACAUUUGUAGGCUGGACAAGAAACUAUCGCAGGAACAUAUUUGUACAACGUAGUAUAGAGUAAAGAUUGAGCGAAUAUUGGCACAGUUAUCCCAUUAUAUAAAGGACUUUGCUAAGUGUACUGUAAUGUCUUUUUUUCUCAGGUCAUUAUUUUCAUUGAUGUGGGUACACUUGAGCCCCAUUUCAGAGAAAAUCUUCCCUGGUGGACGGUGCGAUGGGCCCAAUGUCGAGGUGCCACCUCGGUGGGUGGCCCACACAACUCAGGAGUGUAUGCAAGGGGGGGGCACUCGACAAGGUGGCGCACCGUGAUAGGGUGAUCGCACUGUUACAUAGUGCGAUUGUCCCACGAAAGAUUUUCUCCCAUUUCGAUGUCUCAAUUAUGCUUGGUGUACAUUAAGUUUGACAAUUUUGAAAAUAAUAGUUUUUCCUUUGCUUAUUAUUUUUUUUUUCAAUUACGCACAAGUACAUCUUUUUUUAUGUCCUCACACAUCACACAAGUGGGACUCACUCGUGUGAGUGAGCUGUCAAAGUAGUAGUACACUAAGCUUAAUUCAUUGUUAUAUUAUUAUUAUUAUUAUUAUUUUUACAUCAAAGCAAGUGUUAAACAUGAUGUGCA